rnacentral:tRNA from 1 species
GACCGUGUAGCUCAGUUGGCAGAGCAUUGGGCUAGUAUUCCAAAGGUCGUGGGUUCGAUUCCCAGUGUGGCCG